ensembl:lncRNA
GCGGGCCUUCAUCAAACCCAGAACUAAUCGAGCUGUUUGUUCCAGGCUGGGGAGAAAGUCAUGGCAGCGUUGGAAAAGCCAUGUGGAAGUGACCAGUGCGCUUUCACCUCUCACCGGUCUGAGGCUGGAGGAGCCGCGCCAGGCCGUCCCGCUGAAGGUGACGUGUGUGUGGUCCCGACCGGCCCAAGAGGUUCAGUCCGGCCGCAGGACCGAUCAUCGUCCGGGAAUCCAACAAACACCAGAAACCUCUGUGUCGUCCUGAAAGACUCAUCGACAGGAAAAAACAAGUACAAGCUUGACUUGCAAUUCAGACAACAGCUGGUUUUACUUAAUCAGCCAUUCUGGAGAAAAUCAACAGAAUGUUGAAUUGAUAAAGAAUUGUGGUUUAGAGGAAUAAUCGAUGAUUCAUGAAGGACUCAUGACGACCUCAGUAUUUAUGUUCUCAUUUCGAUGCAAAAAAAUCUGUAUCUUCAUCAGCAUUGUAAUUUUCUUAAAACAAGAUUUAUAAAUCUGACUAAAUAUAGUGCAACUCCACAGACAGAUGGAGACAUUCGGUAAUGCGUUUUCUGUUUAGUUGCUAAGGCAUCUAUUACUACUACUUAUGCUUACAGUUAAGGGUUCAACGUGUCUGUCUGUCUGUCUGUCCAUCUAUCCAACAAUAUUUCCUACAUUAUUUUAUCUGUAUGUAUGUAUGUUUAUUUGUUUGUUUUUAGUUUGUUUUAUUUAUAUAUUUUUUAAUUGUUUAUUUAUAUUUUUGUUUUUAUUUAUUCUAAUAUAUUUACCUAUUUCUUCUUU